rnacentral:rRNA from 1 species
UACGUAGGGUGCGAGCGUUGUCCGGAAUUAUUGGGCGUAAAGAGCUCGUAGGCGGUGUGUUACGUCGGCCGUGAAAACCUGCAGCUUAACUGUGGGCGUGCGGUCGAUACGGGCAUCACUGGAGUUCGGCAGGGGAGACUGGAAUUCCUGGUGUAGCGGUGAAAUGCGCAGAUAUCGGGAGGAACACCGGUGGCGAAGGCGGUUCUCUGGGCCUUACCUGACGCUGAGGAGCGAAAGCGUGGGGAGCGAACAG